rnacentral:rRNA from 1 species
UUUCAUUUUAAGACGUGACUCUAACCUUCGGGGGGAGAGCGUCUACAGUGGGAGCGAUGACUGGGGUGAAGUCGUAACAAGGUAGCCGUAGGUGAACCUGCAGAAGGAUCA